rnacentral:rRNA from 1 species
AGAAUCAACGCUGGCGGCGUGCCUAACACAUGCAAGUCGCACGAGAAAGGGACUUCGGUCCUGAGUACAGUGGCGCACGGGUGAGUAACACGUGAAUCAUCUACCUCCGAGUGGGGAAUAACUGAGAGAAAUCUGGGCUAAUACCGCAUAAUACCUUCGGGUCAAAGGAGCAAUUCGCUUAAGGAGGGGGUCGCGGCCGAUUAGUUAGUUGGCGGGGUAAUGGCCCACCAAGACUGUGAUCGGUA